UUAAAACCAUAAUAAAGUACUUGAUGAGGGGUGUUAAUGUCUUUUCUAAGUUGAUUGCAGUUGUGUAACCAUGCAUAUGGCACUAUAGUCUGAUUCAUUUUUGGAGAGAUGGCUUAUAACCUUUCUAAUUCCCCAAUUGUAGGAUUUUAUGCUAUAGUGUUGCAAAUGAUGUUGCAGAUUAGGACCUCGUAUCUCUUCUUUCUAUUUUAUGAUUUGAACCUUGCCCUUUGUAUUCCAAAUG
rnacentral:misc_RNA from 1 species